rnacentral:rRNA from 1 species
CCUACGGGGGGCUGCAGUGGGGAAUAUUGGACAAUGGGGGCAACCCUGAUCCAGCCAUGCCGCGUGUGUGAAGAAGGCCCUCGGGUUGUAAAGCACUUUCAGUGAGGAAGAACGCCUGGUGGUUAAUACCCAUCAGGAAAGACAUCACUCACAGAAGAAGCACCUGCUAACUCCGUGCCAGCAGCCGCGGUAAUACGGAGGGUGCGAGCGUUAAUCGGAAUUACUGGGCGUAAAGCGCGCGUAGGUGGCUUGAUAAGCCGGUUGUGAAAGCCCCGGGCUCAACCUGGGAACGGCAUCCGGAACUGUCAAGCUAGAGUGCAGGAGAGGAAGGUAGAAUUCCCGGUGUAGCGGUGAAAUGCGUAGAGAUCGGGAGGAAUACCAGUGGCGAAGGCGGCCUUCUGGACUGACACUGACACUGAGGUGCGAAAGCGUGGGUAGCAAACAGGAUUAGAUACCCCAGUAGUC